AAGUUUUAUUUUAGCUUAAAAUUUAUUUAAUUUAUAUUUUAUAUGUAAAUUUUUGUAUGAAUAAAAAUUAUUCUAGAAGAAUAAUUUAAUUAAUUUAUUCGCAGUAUUUAAUAUUAUAAAUAAAAGAAAUUUUGAUUUAGUAAUAAAUUUUAUUAUAGGAUAAAUUUGUGCCAGCAUCUGCGGUUAUACAAAUUAUAAAAAUAAAUUAUAUUAGUUUGUAGUUAAUUUGUUAUUAAUUAAAAUAAAAAUUAAAUUUUUAGGUUAAAUUUUAAAUUUAUUAUUAUUUUAAUUUUAAUUUAGUAAAGCUAUAAAAUUUUUAAUAUAAACUAGGAUUAGAUACCCUAUUAUAUAAAAUAUAAAAUUUAAAACUUAGGUAUUAAUAGUUAUGUUCUUUAAACUUAAAAAAUUUGGCGGUGUUUUAAUCUAUUUAGAGGAACCUGUUCCGUAAUUGAUAAUCCACGUUAAAUUUUACUAAAUUUUACUAAAUUUGUAUACCGUCGUUAUCAGAUUAUCUUAUAAGAGAAUAAUAUUCAUAAAUUUCAAUUAAAUUUUAUUUCAGAUCAAGGUGCAGUUUAUAAUUUAGAGGAAAUGGGUUACAAUAAAAAUAUUUUUGGAUAAAUUUUUGAAAUAAAAUUUUAAAAUUGGAUUUAAUAGUAAUUUUAAUUAAAUUAUUAAAAUGAUUUUAGUUCUAAAACAUGUACAUAUCGCCCGUCGCUCUUUCUUUUAAAGAAAGAUAAGUCGUAACAAAGUAGAUGUACUGGAAAGUGUAUCUAGAAUGAU
rnacentral:ncRNA from 1 species